rnacentral:rRNA from 1 species
UACGUAGGUGGCAAGCGUUAUCCGGAAUUAUUGGGCGUAAAGAGCGCGCAGGCGGUUCCUUAAGUCUGAUGUGAAAGCCCACGGCUCAACCGUGGAAGGUCAUUGGAAACUGGGGAACUUGAGUGCAGAAGAGGAGAGUGGAAUUCCAUGUGUAGCGGUGAAAUGCGUAGAUAUAUGGAGGAACACCAGUGGCGAAGGCGACUCUCUGGUCUGUAACUGACGCUGAGGCUCGAAAGCGUGGGGAGCAAACAGGAUUAGA